rnacentral:lncRNA from 1 species
UUUUUGCCUGGACUUUCUUCUUUUGUCCAGCGGGUCAGUUUAUGCGAAGUAUUUUUUGACUACAUCUGAAUUCACAGGAGACGAAAAAUCUUCACCAUCCAUAGUUGUAAGCAUCAAGGCUCCACCAGAAAAGACCUUUUUAACAACAUAUGGACCUUCAUAAUUCGGAGUCCACUUGCCCCUGUUAUCUGUACCGGGAGGAAGGAUCCUCUUC